rnacentral:rRNA from 1 species
GCAUGUGCACGUCUUGCUUCUUGUGUCGACCUUUCACUCACUCGCUCACACACACACACCUUGUGCACCUGUUGUAGGUCCUCGAAAGAGGAUCUAUGUCUUUCGCAUCACACUCGUCGCAUGUCUACAGAAUGUAUAAAUAAAUCAUACAACUUUCAGCAACGGAUCUCUUGGCUCUCGCAUCGAUGAAGAACGCAGCGAAUUGCGAUAAGUAAUGUGAAUUGCAGAUUUUCAGUGAAUCAUCGAAUCUUUGAACGCACCUUGCGCUCCUUGGUAUUCCGAGGAGCAUGCCUGUUUGAGUGUCAUCGAACUUUCAACCAUGUCUUGAUUCGUUUCAGGCCAUGGCUUGGACUUGGGGGUUGCUGGUGGCCAGACGCUGUCAGCUCUCCUGAAAUGCAUUAGCAAAGGAUGGCAAGUCUGUGACAUGCACGGCCUUCGACGUGAUAAUGAUCGUCGUGGCUGGAACGUCAGGGGACAUGCAUCAAUCGUUCGUUGCUUCCAAUCCUGCAUGGCUUAGCCUUGAGUCGACCUUAGCUACUAGUUGGUCAUAGCACCGACGAACGUUUGGGGUGGGCUAGGCUGGGUCUGUUUCGAAACUUGACCUCAAAUCAGGUAGGACUACCCGCUGAACU